rnacentral:rRNA from 1 species
UACGUAGGGGGCGAGCGUUGUCCGGAAUUAUUGGGCGUAAAGAGCGUGUAGGCGGUCCGGCAAGUCCGCUGUGAAAGUCCAGGGCUCAACCCUGGAAUGCCGGUGGAUACUGCCGGGCUAGAGUCCGGAAGAGGCGAGUGGAAUUCCUGGUGUAGCGGUGAAAUGCGCAGAUAUCUGGAGGAACACCGGUGGCGAAGGCGGCAUCCUGGACCGGCAUUGACGCUGAGGAGCGAAAGCCAGGGGAGCAAACGGG